GUAGGUGGCAAGCGUUGUCCGGAAUUAUUGGGCGUAAAGCGCGCGCAGGCGGUCCUUUAAGUCUGAUGUGAAAGCCCACGGCUCAACCGUGGAUGGUCAUUGGAAACUGGGGGACUUGAGUACAGAAGAGGAAAGCGGAAUUCCACGUGUAGCGGUGAAAUGCGUAGAGAUGUGGAGGAACACCAGUGGCGAAGGCGGCUUUCUGGUCUGUAACUGACGCUGAGGCGCGAAAGCGUGGGGAGCAAACAGGAUUAGAUACCCUGGUAGUCCACGCCGUAAACGAUGAGUGCUAAGUGUUAGGGGGGUUUCCGCCCCCCUUAGUGCUGCAGCUAACGCAUUAAGCACUCCGCCUGGGAGUACGGCCGCAAGGCUG
rnacentral:rRNA from 1 species